UCCGUAGGGGGUGCCUGCGGAGGGAUCAUUACACAACAAAAAUAUGAGGGUGUGGUUUGCUGGCAACAGCGUCCGCCCCAAGUAUUUUUCACCCAUGUCUUUUGCGCACUUUUUGUUUCCUGGGCGAGUUCGCUCGCCACCAGGACCCAACCAUAAACCUUUUUUUAUGCAGUUGCAAUCAGCGUCAGUAUAAUAAUUCAAUUUAUUAAAACUUUCAACAACGGAUCUCUUGGUUCUGGCAUCGAUGAAGAACGCAGCGAAAUGCGAUACGUAGUGUGAAUUGCAGAAUUCAGUGAAUCAUCGAAUCUUUGAACGCACAUUGCGCCCUUUGGUAUUCCAAAGGGCAUGCCUGUUCGAGCGUCAUUUGUACCCUCAAGCUUUGCUUGGUGUUGGGCGUCUUUUUGUCUCUCCCCUUGUUGGGGGAGACUCGCCUUAAAACGAUUGGCAGCCGACCUACUGGUUUUCGGAGCGCAGCACAAAUUUGCGCCUUCCAAUCCACGGGGCGGCAUCCAGCAAGCCUUUGUUUUCUAUAACAAAUCCACAUUUUGACCUCGGAUCAGGUAGGGAUACCCGCUGAACUUAAGCAUAUCAAAGA
rnacentral:rRNA from 1 species